rnacentral:rRNA from 1 species
GACGAACGCUGGCGGCGUGCCUAAUACAUGCAAGUAGAACGCUGAAGAGAGGAGCUUACUCCUCUUGGAUGAGUUGCGAACGGGUGAGUAACGCGUAGGUAACCUGCCUUGUAGCGGGGGAUAACUAUUGGAAACGAUAGCUAAUACCGCAUAACAAUGGAUGACACAUGUCAUUUAUUUGAAAGGGGCAAUUGCUCCACUACAAGAUGGACCUGCGUUGUAUUAGCUAGUAGGUGAGGUAAUGGCUCACCUAGGCGACGAUACAUAGCCGACCUGAGAGGGUGAUCGGCCAAACUGGGACUGAGACACGGCCCAGACUCCUACGGGAAGCAGCAGUAGGGAAUCUUCGGCAAUGGGGGCAACCCUGACCGAGCAACGCCGCGUGAGUGAAGGAGGUUUUCGGAUCGUAAAGCUCUGUUGUAAGUCAAGAACGGGUGUGAGAGUGGAAAGUUCACGCUGUGACGGUAGCUUACCAGAAAGGGACGGCUAACUACGUG